UACGAAGGGGGCUAGCGUUGUUCGGAAUUACUGGGCGUAAAGGGCGCGUAGGCGGCUGUGCAAGUCAGGUGUGAAAGCCCAGGGCUCAACCUUGGAAUUGCCUUUGAUACUGGCGUAUCGUUGAGUACGGAAGAGGUAUGUGGAACUCCGAGUGUAGAGGUGAAAUUCGUAGAUAUUCGGAAGAACACCAGUGGCGAAGGCGACAUACUGGUCCGUUACUGACGCUGAGGCUCGGAAAGCGAUGGGGAGCAA
rnacentral:rRNA from 1 species